rnacentral:rRNA from 1 species
GAUGAACGCUGGCGGCGUGCCUAAUACAUGCAAGUCGAGCGAACGGACGAGAAGCUUGCUUCUCUGACGUUAGCGGCGGACGGGUGAGUAACACGUGGAUAACCUACCUAUAAGACUGGGAUAACUUCGGGAAACCGGAGCUAAUACCGGAUAAUAUUUUGAACCGCAUGGUUCAAUAGUGAAAGACGGUCUUGCUGUCACUUAUAGAUGGAUCCGCGCUGCAUUAGCUAGUUGGUAAGGUAACGGGUUACCAAGGCAACGAUGCAUAGCCGACCUGAGAGGGUGAUCGGCCACACUGGAGCUGAGCCACGGUCCAGACGCCUACGGGAGGCAGCAGUAGGGUAUCGGACGCAAUGGGCGAAAGCCUGACGGAGCAACGCCGCGUGAGUGAUGAAGGUCUUCGGAGCGUAAAACUCUGUUAUUAGGGAAGAACAUAUGUGUAAGUAACUGUGCACAUCUUGACGGUACCUAAUCAGAAAGCAACGGCUAACUACGUG